CCUACGGGAGGCAGCAGUGGGGAAUAUUGGACAAUGGGGGAAACCCUGAUCCAGCAAUGCCGCGUGAGUGAUGAAGGCCUUAGGGUCGUAAAGCUCUUUUACCAGGGAUGAUAAUGACAGUACCUGGAGAAUAAGCUCCGGCUAACUCCGUGCCAGCAGCCGCGGUAAUACGGAGGGAGCUAGCGUUGUUCGGAAUUACUGGGCGUAAAGCGUGCGUAGGCGGUUAUUCAAGUCAGAGGUGAAAGCCCGGGGCUCAACCCCGGAACGGCCUUUGAAACUAGAUAACUAGAAUCUUGGAGAGGUCAGUGGAAUUCCGAGUGUAGAGGUGAAAUUCGUAGAUAUUCGGAAGAACACCAGUGGCGAAGGCGACUGACUGGACAAGUAUUGACGCUGAGGUACGAAAGCGUGGGGAGCAAACAGGAUUAGAUACCCUGGUAGUCCACGCCGUAAACGAUGAUAACUAGCUGUCCGGACACUUGGUGUUUGGGUGGCGCAGCUAACGCAUUAAGUUAUCCGCCUGGGGAGUACGGUCGCAAGAUUAAAACUCAAAUGAAAUUGACGG
rnacentral:rRNA from 1 species